GCCGAGGUAGCUCAGUUGGUAGAGCAUUCGCCUGAAGAGCGAGGGGUCACCAGUUCAAUCCUGGUCCUCGGCACCA
rnacentral:tRNA from 1 species